AAAUAUGAAUUACAAUGAAUUUUCUCAUCAAAUUCAUUUUUCAACAGGGUUGAUUUGACUGAUCUAGCUGGCUAAGUGGGUAUCCCCUUCCUCUCUCUCUCUCUCUCUCUCUGAGCAUCUAUGAGCAUCAUUCUCAAGUUGCACAUCCAGUUGAAGAGGACAAACAUCCCCAAUAAAGGAGAAACGUCCUUUGGUGAAGGGUAUAUGAUUAGCUUCACUCCCUGCUAGAACUUCCAAACAAGCUCUCAAAAACUGAGAGUGGCGGUACAUAUCUGCAAUCACAGCUAUAUAGGAGAUUGUUGGAAGAAGGAUCUCAGUUCAAAGCUGGUCCUAGCUAAAACCAUGAGAAUUU
ensembl:misc_RNA 7SK 7SK RNA